UCUGACUNGAGUGCAGAAGGGGAGAGUGGAAUNCCAUGUGUAGCGGUGAAAUGCGUAGAUAUAUGGAGGANCACCAGUGGCGAAAGCGGCUCUCUGNUCUGUCACUGACGCUGAGGCUNGAAAGCGUGGGUAGCGAACAGGAUUAGAUACCCUGGUAGUCCACGCCGUAAACGAUGAGUGCUAGGUGUUAGGCCCUUUCCGGGGCUUAGUGCCGGAGCUAACGCAAUAAGCACUCCGCCUGGGGAGUACGACCGCAAGGUUGAAACUCAAAGGAAUUGACGGGGGCCCGCACAAGCGGUGGAGCAUGUGGUUUAAUUCGAAGCAACGCGAAGAACCUUACCAGGUCUUGACAUCCCGAUGCUAUUCUUAGAGAUAGGAAGUUACUUCGGUACAUCGGAGACAGGUGGUGCAUGGUUGUCGUCAGCUCGUGUCGUGAGAUGUUGGGUUAAGUCCCGCAACGAGCGCAACCCUUAUUGUUAGUUGCCGUCAUUAAGUUGGGCACUCUAGCGAGACUGCCGGUAAUAAACCGGAGGAAGGUGGGGAUGACGUCAAAUCAUCAUGCCCCUUAUGACCUGGGCUACACACGUGCUACAAUGGUCGGUACAACGAGUUGCGAGCCGGUGACGGCAAGCUAAUCUCUGAAAGCCGAUCUCAGUUCGGAUUGGAGGCUGCAACUCGCCUCCAUGAAGUCGGAAUCGCUAGUAAUCGCGGAUCAGCACGCCGCGGUGAAUACGUUCCCGGGCCUUGUACACACCGCCCGUCACACCACGAGAGUUUGUAACACCCGAAGUCGGUGAGGUAACCUUUUAGGGGCCAGCCGC
rnacentral:rRNA from 1 species